rnacentral:rRNA from 1 species
UACGGAGGAUGCGAGCGUUAUCCGGAUUUAUUGGGUUUAAAGGGUGCGCAGGCGGAAGAUCAAGUCAGCGGUAAAAUUGAGAGGCUCAACCUCUUCGAGCCGUUGAAACUGGUUUUCUUGAGUGAGCGAGAAGUAUGCGGAGUGCGUGGUGUAGCGGUGAAAUGCAUAGAUAUCACGCAGAACUCCGAUUGCGAAGGCAGCAUACCGGCGCUCAACUGACGCUCAUGCACGAAAGUGUGGGUAUCGAACAGG